rnacentral:rRNA from 1 species
UACGUAGGCAGCAAGCGUUGUUCGGAAUUACUGGACGUAAAGAGUGUGUAGGCGGUGUUCUAAGUCUGUUGUGAAAUCUCCCGGCUUAACUGGGAGGGUGCGGCGGAAACUGGAAUGCUAGAGGAUGGGAGAGGUAAGCGGAAUUCCUGGUGUAGCGGUGAAAUGCGUAGAUAUCAGGAGGAACACCUGUGGUGUAGACAGCUUACUGGACCAUUUCUGACGCUGAGACACGAAAGCGUGGGUAGCAAACAGG